CAAAAUAUUUUGAAGGAGACAUGCUCGUCGUACUUAUUCUUAAGAGAGCUGAUGGUUGGUGCAAAUCAGUGAAGAAGGCGAAUGUAGUUCCACUCCUGAAUAGAUAAGUGGAAAAUUAUAGUAAACUUAUCCGUAUCAUGCGCGUUACGCAUCUUAAAGAUUGCAAUUAUAAUUUUCGGAAUAUUUUUGCAAUGAAUAAGGGUGGUACCGCGUAACUAUGUUCAUUAUAGCCUUUCGCCCCUUAC
rnacentral:ncRNA from 1 species